rnacentral:lncRNA from 1 species
CAUUGUCCCUCAUAACUUGGUAUAUUUUCUUGAUCGUUUCCUCUUCUCUUAGAUAUUAUAUGAACCCUAAACAUCUAUACCUAUUUUUGUAAUUUUGCACAGUUUGACUCACUGAUAAGUGAGUGAUUUUUCAUCAUCAUUUCAAGUUUAUUUAUUGCUCAAAUACCAGAAGAAAAAAUUUCAAUCUUUCAUGAUUGUAUUCCAACAUGAUUUUUAUGCUAUCCACGCAUAAGUGAUUGAUUGUUUAAACAUGAUUUUAAGUUGAUUUAUUGCUCGAUUCCCAUAAAAAGAACCAGUCUGUGAUGUUUUUAAGUAGGUGAUGGUUUUGUAAACCAUGCUACAAUGGAAAAUGAUUUCAACCCUAAUUUUAUUCGAAGUUUUUGGAGUUUUUCAUGUAUGAUUACCUGGGGAUCUGAUAUAUUUCUGUCCUUACCUGGGGAUCUGACAUAUUUCUGACAAAUUAAAUAGAACACAAUCACGAGUUUUGCCUAUACAAAAUUUCCGAUAUGUUUAUUACCCCUAGUGCUUGAUUGAUCUCCUCUGUGAGUUGUUUCAGCGGUGACAAAUUACAAUGCUGUUCUUUGAGGAGAAAUCUUCACCUGGUAACUCCCCCUCUCUCGGAUCGAGACUUCAGAGAACAUUCUUGAUUUAUAGUUCGAUCUCUGAUCCAUUUGUACUUUAUAUUCUGCUUAAUGAUUGAUAUAUUUUAUAUUAACUCCUGCAAGCAAGAUUAGAUUCUUGUCUUUUAAUUAUAUUGUUUAAUUAUCAGUGGACUUGGUUUAACUGUUUAGUUAAUCUUGCUUUAUAUUGUUUGCAUAUGUCUUGGUUCCUUGUAUUGCAGGCGAUAUAUCUCCUUUGGAUUCGAUUCAAAUGCUAAUUAAGAUUUGAUAAUUUCAAACAUUAACGUGCUACAUUAUCCUACAUGCUUAUGGGUCUGUAACUCUAUACCCUAGUGUCGGUUGAUAAAGUGGCAGAGAGAGAGUUCAGAUAGAGUGCAGUCACUUUAUAUGCAUACAUGUACAUGCGACUCUCAGAUUCCAUAGGGGUCAAAAUCUAUCUUAGCUCAUGCUCAUAAUUCAUAUAUGUGACCGCGAUUAAUUCUUGGGAAAUGAUGAUCGAACACUCCUUUCCUUAUUUUGCACGUCCCUAAUGUGCAGGGCGAGAAAAAAAAAAGUAUGAAUCAUUUUCAGGGUCAUUACUUUGCAUCCGUUUCUCAUCUGCCUUGCCGGCCCUUGCUACAUAAAAUUAUUUCAAUUCCCUGUGCGUGUAAUUAAAGUACGUGGACCUUGAUGAUUUAGCUAAACAGCUAGCUAGUCUUUCUUUUAUUGGUUUUGCUUAUCACAAAGAUAUAACUUAUUUUAGGGCUUAGCAAGGACUAAGUACUACUCAAAUUUGUUCUAGGACAACAAUUUCAGUUGGUUUAUUGAAUGUCCGCUGGACCACAAAGGUCUGUGUUGCCUUUUUCAUCUUUUCAACUCGUGCUUCAUUACUGUCUAGCUUAUUCAUUCAAGCUAAGCUUUGGAGCAAAUAAUUUGACGAGAAAUGAUUCCAACUCACCCAUUUUCUCACUUUGCACACUUAAAUAGUGGUGUGAAGUAAGAAAAAGAAGAUUUGUGCGGAAAUCAUUCCCUUAUUUGAUUGUUUAAUGGUUCAGAGGAGAAAAUUAAUGAAGUUCAUGGAACCGAAACCUUGCUGAAGAAAUUAGGGUUAUAUUUUGCCAACUAUGGUAAUGUAAACGAAGUGUGUAAAAAAAGGUCAUCCAUAUUUUUCACUGGCAAGGACAUGUGUGUGCUGGUCUUGUUUGGCUCCUUUCUCUUUUCUUUUGGAUUAUUACAUAUCAGAGACAACUAAAGCUUUUUUUAAUCUUUCAUGGUCGUAACUAAGAUCCAAACCGAGAAUAUUUUUAACUGUCAUCUAUGCAAGAAUUGGUUAGAUUUACAGAUGGGUGCUCUCACGGGGAUUUGGAUACAUCCAAUUAAUAGACCAACCCUUUUGCCACUAUAAAUUAAAAGAGUGACUAAAGGCGCUGCACGGGUCAUGAUCCAACUACUUUUCAUGUCUUAAUGUCACCCACUAAUCUAACAUGCAUUAGAAUUUCUCACCUUUCAUUUGCUGUAAAACGUUUUAAUAUAUCAUUGCUUUAUGCCCAAUCUAGAGUGCAGUUUUCUUUAUCAUUUGGUUUUACUGUGUAUUUAUAUAUGUGCUUUUGCAAAUCUAGAUUUAAUUAAGAUUGUUAGAAUAGUGUUUUACACCCUAUGUUUGAGUUUGAUUCUCUUUUCGGUAGUUUAGAAAAAGUUAAUAUGGAAUGAUGCUUAUAUAAAAGGAGUGUGUGUGUGUGUGUGUAUUUGUGUGUUUAUGAAUUAUUACCGUUAGUGCCUAUAUAUUUGUACCACUUUAGAUGCUAUCAUGGUAUAGUUGUUGGUGAACCUCUAGUAUAUAUGCUGAGAUCGAUCAUCAUGAGAAGGUACGACCUACCUUAAGUAGUACCUAUAUAUAAUGGUCAAGAAAGUUGCCAUUUAUCGUUGUUGCUGAUCACUUUCACUUGAUAUGAAAAGGCAAUCACUUCAACCUGAUAAUAUUGCUUGAUUGGUCGAUCGGUCAAAUCCCAACACACGGUGGCAAAGGUAUUGCUUCUCUAUGCCGUACCUCUUUCCGUUGGCCGUCAUGGUUUGAAAAUAUAUAUGUUUCAGCCAUCGUUUCUUCACACAGGCUUUUCCUUCAUUACUUUUCCUUAAGAGAUUAAUUAGCCAUUGCCAUUUUAAACUGGAUUGUUCUGCCACUGAUCAACACUAGGUAGUAUCAUCUGCUAAACCAUUUCACUACAUAUUCUUCCAUUGCUUGUUGAUGCUAGUGUAUCGAUAUAUUCAACUGUAUAUAUAACCCUAUAUAUAUGUCUUAAGAUGCUGUAGAUGGAUGUCAUGACUCGUGCAACUUUUAAAAACGUCAACUCAUGCUCUUCUUCUGGAUUCUAACAUUUUGUCUUGUGUUUGCUUUAGCAGAUGUCUUAUGUGUCCGUCCUAGUGGCAGUUUGGAUUAUAUGGUAUAAAUACCCUUUUAUUUCAGACUAACUUGCUAAUAAUGUAGAAUGAUCCUUAAAUCUACUGUGAUAACUGGCUGCAAAUGGUCCGUAUUUUUUUAUUACGCUAGAGAGAACUUAUCUCACGUUCACUCAAUCUGAAGAUAUAGGACAUUUUUUAUUCUCAAUGUAUAUGACUUAGUGCAGUGGUUUAUCUGGUCUGAAAAAACUUGAUAGAUAAGUCAGGAUACCAGUAAUAAAGUGAUAACUGGCUUUAUAGCCUAAGUUGAUUGAAUACAUUUGGACUUUCAUCUCAACUGCAUCUAGGUCACUUCCCCAAGCAUCUACUAUUUUAAUUCCGUUCAAGUUUAAGUUUUGAUUUGAGUAACUCGGUUAUUUUCAUAAACGAGCUAUAGGUUGACCAACUAGCUCUAAGUCUAGGUUUCUUUUUACGUUGAAAGCAGUUCCAACAAAGUUCGAAUUCCCCCUAAUUCUUAGUCUAGGGUUAGGUUUCUUCUUAAGUCGGAAGAGGCUACGAUAAAGUUUGAAUCCCCGGCCCCUACCCUAUUGAUGGAAGGAAAGGGAUCUAUGGUGCCCCAGUUCCUGAUAACUAGGUACAGAAAUUAGUGCGGCCUUGUUAAUUUAAUUCUACUCCAGAAGAGCCAAUGCAUGCCUCCUUAAUUGUUCUGGCCUCUUCUGAAGUGAUUUGCGUGGACAUGGUCCUGGCUAGCUAGUUAGCAAGAGGCCUUGUUAAGACAUUCAUUGCACUUCCAUUUUCCUCUGCACUACUCUGGUUAAUAAUGUUGUUCUUAUUUUAGAAAUUUAAGGACAUCUAAUUAUUUUCGGUGUGUAAACCAAUCCGAACUAUUCGGUUUUCAGAUUCUAUUUCAAAGAUAUCAAUGCUGAAUUCAGUAAAUGUGAGAGUAACAAUAUGUUAAGUUGUAAUGAAGUAGUUAAAGCAUGGUGCCUGUGAACAUGUGUGAGACUUGAAUGCAAUUCAUCAUUUGGCUGUUAUAAAUUGCUCACAAUAUGCUAUUAAUAUAUACUGCAUCCAUCAUUACCAUCGAUUUCAAUUUUCCAAAUAUCAUAUAGUUGCUGAAUCGGCCAUAUUCAAUUUAUAAUUGAAGACGUUACCAAGCUUUGCCAACGAAACUAUACUUUGCUGAAACAGUACAUAUGAAGCAAUGUGACAGAGAAAAGGAACAAUGGGUUUUUACCAAAUCCAGUGUAAUGUGUUGAUGACAAAAGUUAAAGCCAGCUAACUAGAUGAUCAACUUACUGGAAUAUUGUGAACUAUUGAAAAGAAAAUUCAACUAUGCUCUGGUGUAUGACAACUGACAAACACCAGUUAAAUAGGGUGUUAGAUGUGCAUCCAAGGAUCCUACAGUCACGGGUGUCGGUGGAUGUUAUACACUAAUGCAUACUAGAAAAUCCCCUAUACAUAUACCAGGUAGAUAAAGAAACUCAUUGUAAAAAAAUACUGAAAUGAUACACAUAUAAGUAGGUCUUCAACAACCAUUCCAAUCACAAUUACAGGACUGCCAAAAUUGCUUUGUUUCUUCUAGCUUGCUCGUGUAGCGUGGAUAAUCACUGGAGACCGAAAAAGCUCAUGUAUAAUUGCAGAAACGUUUAUGAAGUUUCGAAAGUUUCAUGCGCUGUAUCUAGUUAUGAUGAAGAUAAAACAAUUACAGUUUCAGUCUGGUUUUUUCAUCGAUACUUCUUUUUUACUUUUUAAUUUGAGUCUUGGAUCAAGGGAAGCAUAAUUGUGUAGUUGUAAUGCCAAUGACAACCCUAUUCAGCUGUACAAACAUAAAGGUGAGAGAGAGAGAGAGAGAGAGAGAGAGAGAGAUAAAACUGAUUACUGAUGUAACAAUGAGAUCGGAUGUGGUUAAAAAAAACUAUGUCAGAUAGGGACAAAGUUUAACCUUUUUCACAGAAAUGUAGGAGAAGAUGUAGAAGGAAAAUCAAAAGGCUAACUGCAGGAACAGGAAGGGAAGUGUCAUCAUAAUUGAUAAAAGGGAAAGGGUAGGGGAAUCUUCUCUGAAGCACAAACUCUUUUUUCACCAUAUUGAUUGAAUGAAUGAGCAGGGGAAUAUUUUUAAAAAUUAAAUUGAAAUUUCGCCUAAAUGUAUCAGACAGCAAGAAAAAAAAACAUUUUAAAAUUACCAUUCUGCAUGGCUCAAACGUGUGCCAGUAGAUAUAACAAAGUUAUAGAUUAAAAAAUACUGGCACAAAAAUUCACUGAAUUUCAUCUUCAUCUGUAGUUCAUCUGUACUACUACAGUAGCAUAGCCAUGGGGUUUGUCUUCAGCAGCAAGUACCCUCUUACCUAAUACACAUAAUUCUAACUCCAAACUUAAGGAGAAGGGAAUUUUAAUUGUAGGGUUUUCCUACAGUACACUGGUGCUUGAACGGCAAGAUUGAAAAUGUCAAAAUCUAGUCAUCUGAUACACAGGUGCAAGCUUAUACACACGUGUAGAGUAAAAUUUUUGUAAAUUAUAACCCACAUUGUAACUCAGCAGUAUCAGAGUCCAUUCAUUACAUAAUUUUUCAGACAAAAUGCAAAGACAGUUUCAUGAGAGGGGCCCCAUGUGUAUACAUACAUAUUAAAGAACCACAUUUGAUACAAAUAAAUUCAAAUUAUAAGAGAAAACUUACGGUCCCAUAUAAUUAUGAAAGAAUUCUACAAGAAAAGUUUUUGGCGAAAUGGGUUCGAAUUAUGGAAGAAAAGUGAGGGAAUUACCAGGAUCUGUGGUGAAAAAGACGAAAUCAUUUUUCAUGUUGUGUGCAAACAUUUUGGGGAAGUUGAAAUGGUUAAGUCCAGAAUUGCCAUGGUCUCCCACAGCUUUCUUGAGCUUCCAUGGUGCUAAUCCGGAAAGAGAUUUAGACAGCAGAGAAUUGAAGUUCAAGAAAGCUGUGGAAAAGCAUGGCGAGGACUUGUAAAUACAGUCUCUUCAGAUCUCAACUCCAAACCAAAGAGGAAUCCUUUGGCCUGCCAGAACAUCCCUUCUUGUGUGCCCUUCUAGCUAGUUUCUACCUAGCCAGUAUACAGUAUUAAGAGAGAGAGAGAGAGAGAGAGAGAGAGAGCGGGAGAGGUUGGGAAAAAAGGCCAUACCCUUCAUACAAAGGUCUCUCAAGGACCACUCUACAACAUAUAAUCUGUCUACCAGCUUUAUAGAGAGGGAGGGUGGAAAAUAAAGAGUGGGCUGAGUAAGGUUAAAUUGUUAAUCAUAAGACAUUUUACCCACAAAAUGCCUUUCUUUCCAAUUGAGUGCGUUGUGGGGUACUAUAUAUAUAUCUAUAUAUAUAUAUAUAUAUAUAUAUAUAUAUAUAUAUUAUUUUCUAUAUUACACGUUCGAAGAGAAAUCAAAAAUUGAAAACUAAUUACAUAAAAAAGAAAUGAAGAAAAAUUUACUGGAAAUUAAAUAUAUAUGUGUGCAUAUAUAGUUAAGGAAAAAGAAAGAGCUGGAGAAUGAAUAUUUCAAAGCCAUUCCCAUCCUCAUCAUCACAUGCUUCCAUGUGAUCAAGAUCUCUUUUUAUUUUUUUUUGGGAUUUAAAGGUAUGGGCUGUUUAUGGUCCUCCAAUCCUUAUGUUUGUUUUUUCUUUCUAGGGGUAAACAAUACAUGUAAUCAUCGCUCAUGAUAACGUAAUUUUCCAUAUUUUAGAUUUAGUGUAUGUAGUUGAACUGUUCAUGAGGUCAUUGUAGGCGUGGUAAUAAAAUUGUAACAAUAUUCUAUGUGGUUCUCGACUUCUAUUUCGUAUCUAAGUAUGUUAGAUUUAAAUUCAGAACCUUCUUUAAAAAGUUGACAAAGAAGAAAUUUGUGUGGCACUAUGUCAAAUUUGAAAUUUAUUACUUUAUUUUAAGCACCGAUCUAUUAGUGUUACUUACGUGCGAAAAACUUUUUCUUGACGUCAAAUGAUAAACUAAUUUAGAAUUUAGAGAUCAAGCUCAAAUUUUCUUUUGGCUCAGUAGUUUUUAGUUUUUACCAGUGUAUUUUAGGUUGACAACGGGGCUAAAUGCCCAAAAAAAGAAAAAUUACAAUAGAACACUUAGCAGUGUCCGCCAUUAAGAGAAGUCAGCAACAGUAAUGAAUUUGAUCAAAAUAACCUAGACCAAGAGAACAUGAGAAACUCAAGUUAGCCAAUUCAGCCGGUUAUUUCCAUAAAUCCCUGCCUACGAUUGACAAAAUAAAUGGUGAUCCAUAUUAGUAAACAAAAUUAUAUCUUUUCAUAAUUGACUAUCCAAAGUUAGCUAUAUAUGCUAGAGAAUGAAAUAUAAUUACCAGCUAGCCAUCAUCUCAAUUAAUUCCUAGAUGUUUGAAAAUUAAAAAAUGACGUCUAGACCUGCCUAGGAGCCCACGUAGGCCCUCCUAGGUCGUGACUCUAAGGAUCACGAAUCUUACUUACACAUAAAAUCGAUAACUUUUAUUUUGAAUUUUAUUUUUUAAUAAAUUGUAAGAGUUGUUGAAUACUUGGAUGAACACUCAUUAUAUGAUUGUUCCCAUGUUUUCAAUAUGUUUUAAUACUUUAUAAUCGAUAUGUCAUUUUGUUUUAUAAUUUAUGUAUCUCAAUACAAUUAUGUUUUUUUUUAAGUAUAAGUAGAUAUUUAUUUAUAUGUUAUAUUAUAAAUUAAAUUAAAAUUAAAAAAAAAACCGACUUGGCCCCUACCUGAGCCCCGUCUAGACGCCUAGGCGCUAAACCCCUGCAUGUCGUCCAAUUAGCACCUAGCGUAACCUUGAUACAUACUAAGAUUUUGUUUUAGCGUUUCUUCUCUUUCCACUAUUGCAAGGGCCUUGAGAUAUAAAAGCACAUGGUAAAGAAAACCUAAAAUUACUCCAUUGAAUUCUUGAGCAUGAGCAUCACAUGUCAUUCAAAUACAAUCAUGUAUGUAAAGUGUAAAUCGUAAAUGAACCAACCUAAUCCCUUUUUCCUCCUACACAUGUAUCUCAUGUGGUCUUGCUUCACUAAUACUAGUAUAAAUAUAAUGAAGAUAGUUUGUUUUUUCUACAAAUAUCAUAAAGUUAAAUGAGUCUCCUUUCAACGUUCAUUUUUUAAAUGAUGUUUUGUUGGCGAUGGAUGAUGGGAUAAGAAGAAGACGAAGGUGUAUCAUAACAUAACAUACGAUAUGGUGGAUGGGGAGGAUAUUAUAAAAUGCUCAUAAUUCACAUGAUCUGCGGUCAGCUAGCUACUCGCUCAGUCAGUCAGGGAUGAUGUUAAAACGGUUAAAGUGGUGGUGGUGGGGGAGUGGUUGUGCUGGCCUUGUGGACCCCCACCGCUCUCCUCCAAAUGGACCCAUGAACCCUAAAUUAUUAUUAUUUGUUUACAAAAUAAUCAGACCCCUCCAGCCCUCACCCGCCGUUACAUCAGUUUGAUAUUCCAGUUUGUUUUCUUUUGUUGGUGCACAGGGCAAGUUGGGGUGGGGGUGCUCGUACAGGAUUCCACCCAACUAGUUAUCCCUGCGGUGGUUUAUAUACCUCAUUACCCUCGGAUUGUGGGAUUCAAAACUAGGGUUCGACAGUGGGCGUGUUAUCUAACAACAUUGUACGGUGUAGAUUUCUUCGAAAUUUCUAGUAAUGUUUUUUAACAGGAACAAAAGUUCACAGAAUACCUCUUUUUACCUUAACAAUGAUGUAAAUACCAUAACAUUACAGGAUAGGCGAUCAUUUUACAAUAAUUGAGAUGGUAAUAAAAAAGUAGAAGAAUUUAGUUUGAGUUCAAAUAGCAAUCCUAUUGAUACUACGACAUGAAAUGUUUUAUAACUAUACAAUAGUAUUUCUUAAACAUAUCAUAUCUCAUAUUUAACAGUGUUUCAAUACUAUACAAUAAUUUUUUAGGACAUAAUAACUAAUAAGAAAAGAAAAAUAAUAAAGUCGAAGCACGCAAUUUAGUGGAAGAAGCCAAAAUGCUUCUUGACAAUUUCUUCAAGUCACAUCCUUCACAUCAUAGAUUUAUAAUGUCCUCAACAUACUUUAGCUAAAAAAAUUAAAGAAAAGUGUUCUCCAUGGCUAAUAACCCUAAUCAGUACAAGAAUGACCCCACAAGACGACUUGGGCCUAAUUUCAAAUUCCAGUCUUAGUUUAUCGUGCAAACUAACUAUCUAUCAGUUCUAUAUAGACAUUUGAUUUUGCAUUGGACAAAGAAAAAAGGAAAAUUUUGAAGUGUUAGCUUUAUGAUUUGCAUUUGCGCAUGGCCUGCAAGAUGGUGACUGCGAUUGGGACUAUAAAGGCAGCUCUAAGCCUAACUAGUAUGGCAUUGCUCGUGAUAAGGCCAAUUCUCAGCAAGGUGGUGGGGCCCUAGCCUCUACCGCAUCGUUGUUGUGUCUGGGCUGCGGGAGCUCUCAGCCACAUAGAUAGUUCAAUGUGCGUUGUAUACAUAUGCACAUGAUGAUAAGGUUGAAAUGUUCAAAUUUUGAUUUUGCAGCUUGCAUUACUAGGUAAACAGUAGAAGGUGGAGCUAGGUCUCUUUCUAAUAUACUAUUCACUGCUGCCAUUUGGUCAUUGAGUUGUACCAUUCAUCUAUCUGUUUCUCUGCUACAUAAUGGGGCCAGAACAUACACACAUAAAAGCUGAAGUCUGUGCCACCAAUUUGAGUUUUAGGUUCCGUCUGUGCCACCCUAACUAAUAUGAUGGGAACAAUUUUCACGACCCACUUCCUCAUCUGUAUAAAUUCAAAUUCAGAUCAUUUGAGUUUAUGGUUGUGAUUCUUUCUCCUUUUCAUUAAAUCAUGUAUAAGCUAUGUAAUAUUAUAACAAAUGGUGCAUGUCCGUAGAAAAAUAACCUACCAACACGUGAGAUGCAUCGACAAUUAAAGUAUGAAAAUGUAAUUAUCACAACCAUGACUUACUAGAUGUUUGUUAAGAUCUUAACCGAGACUCCAUGCUAUGUUCAUGUGUGUUUUACCGUCUUCGCAUGACAAUGCUUCGAGUAACUUGAAAUACCGCACUUGUGGGAUCAUAUGUAAGUUCUUUGAUAUUGGUAGACUUGUAGUAAUGAACAGUACGAAGCAAGCAUGUGGCCAAGGCAGCUGAGUAGUGGGAUCGAUCCAUCCGGCCAAGCGUGUGUGCAGAUCGUGCAGCACGGAGGUGAGAGGACAAGGAAGGGCAGGGGGAAUUAUAAGAUGGUUCUGUUAUCAUUGUAAGAUUGUGAUAAUUCAAGGGACCCACAUGAACUAGGUUCCAAAUCAUCAGUGAAUUUUUGCAGUGUCACUCAUACCGUCAUAUGAUGCAUGACAAGUCAGGUGCACGAGAGAGGAUCCGAGAGCAUCCAUUCCUCAUCACCCUCACCAGCGCCCGAUUCUGAUUCAUACAAAUUUACAUUCAUGCAGUGGUAGUACGGAUGGAUCUAUGUUCAACCGUAUCAUUCUGUUAGUCCUCUUUUCUUUCUUUGUUUACUUUUUAACUUUCUCCCACUUCAAACCUUUUUUUUUUGUUCUAGUUACUAGUUAAAUUUUAGAACCUACCAAUCAUCAUGAGAGUCUCUUGUAUCAUAAAUGAUAGACCACUUACUUUUGUAUCGUAAACUCAAAAACUUGACUUUAGCUUUCAUGCUAAUUAUGUUGAAGCUUCAUCGAUCCUAAUUAUGUUGAACUCAAAGUGUACUGGUAGACAAGAUCAGACUAAUAUGACAUUAUUAUGUACAACGAUAUAUGAAAGUAAAUCUUGUAUAUAACGCUGGCAUUUUACACUCCUAGAGUGAAUGAAUUAUUUGUAAACUUGUCUUGCACUCAAAGGCGGUUAAAUUUCCUUAUAAUCUCGGGUUUCUUAAUGGUGUAAGAAAAAUCUUAAAUCUCUUAAUAUCGUUGAAGCCUAAACACUAUAAAAGUUUGUCUCUUGUUUUAUCAUCGUACGUGUGCUGACUGGCCUAGUAAAAUGUAAUUAAAACCCUACAAUUUUUGAAAUUAGGAAAUGGGGGUUGAUGAGUUAAAAGAAAAAGUAGAUCACAUGGUGUUAGGGCAUUAGCCGAUGGAUGAGGGAUAAGGUUUUUAGAUGGGGGGUGGGUGGGGGGGCCUGGCGCAAUGGGUAUCUCGUAAUAACAGUUGGAGGUGUAAGUAGGCGCAUGUGAUUUUGGCUUGGAAGGGAAUAAAGUGUACGUAGGAACGGGACGGGAUUGCAGCAGGAAGGGAGGAGGGGGUCAGGGGUUAUGCAUGUCUCUAUGCAUUGUUUGGGAUAGGACUCUGUCGUCACUGUCGUAUAGGUCACUAAACAGCCUGUUCACUACCACCACAUUCCCUUAACAUUACAAAUUCACAUUAAUAUAUAACCUUUAAGGUUUAUUUACGUUGUUGUUAAUCGUAUUACGGUAAUUCCCAAUGCGGACAUGCCAGUGAUAUUGUUGAUGUUGCAAGCUGAAAUUUGUUAAUAUGUAAUUGAUACGUUUGUCAUUUGUCAAAAUUAAUGUCUUUAUAUUUCGUUGGCAAAUGCAGUUAAUUGCAACUUAGAAUAGUUGUAUUACAUUAAAUGAUUAACUAUGCCUAAUUGUUAUUCCCCAUUUGUCAACUUGGCAUUAGUUGACCUUUGGAUCUUUUUUUUUUUUUUUGGGUAACGGGAUAUAGCAUUAUCCGGGCAAAGAUGUCAAAGUUUUACAAUAAGGCCUACCAUGAGGCAAACAUUCACAAACAACUACUAGAAAAGAGUAGUACAAGGAGGUACAAAAAAACCAUGACGCCACAUCUAAUGCUAAAGCGUCCCUCCUCACACUACCAUAUACAUCUAGGGGGUAGGGAAGACCGUCAUUACAUAAAACAUGAACCAGGGAAGAUGGGGGUCUAUCGACCCAAAUAUGAUCACAUACUUCCCUACUUCGCCGCGAAGCCAGAAGGUCCACUACCGAGUUGGCCACUCUUGGAACCCAAGACCAGUGGCAAUCAUGAAAGGCCCCUCCCAAUCUGUUGCACUUCACUAUAAUGGGAAAAGCAUCCCAAAUGCCCUUCAUUGCCAUAUCACUAAGGCAAGAAAUAGAUUCCAAAGAGUCAGACUCAACGAUUACCGAGUUCCAACCCCUACAAAUCCCUAACUUACACCCAUGCAUAAUAGCCAUUACUUCCACCAUUGCAACACUUGUCGCCUUCACACAGUACCGAUAUGCCGCCAAGAACCUUCCAUCUUCGUCCCGCACCACCACUCCCGUGAACCCCAAACCUUCACUUGCCACCCAACUGGCAUCCACAUGAAUCUUAACAAAGCCCGGACUCAGUGGAGACCAUUGGACAUCAGUAUUCGUACUAUGAGAACUAGGCACAGGCGUAGUGGUCGGUGGUGCUCUGGCCUCGUUGAAGGUAGUUACCGAAUGGGAAAUAGUAGCAAUGACUUGUCUUGGGAAGAUUUGUUGUUGGAUGAACAUGAAGUUACACCUUGAUUUCUAUAUAUGCCAGCAUGUGAUGGCAAUAUACAAUAACAGAUUAUUCCUCACCUUCUUCGAACCAUUGGCCAAAUCGAACAUUUGUAUCAACCAGUUUUUCCAAGUUGUAAUCUUCAUCCGAUUAAUUCUGAUAUUCAAAUUUCCUCCAAACCAAACCACUUCCACCCACGGGCAUUGUAGAAACAAGUGUUCACUUGACUCUUCAUGCGACUUACAAAGAAGGCAUAAUGGUGAUGGAGACGAUCUUCUUUGGUAUAAGUUUGCCAUUGUUGCAAUAGCCGCGUGAAAAGUCUUCCACAUGAAGCAUUUUAAUUUCGGUGGUACCUCCAAAUUCCACACAAUCUUCCACAAUGUGCUAGGAAUGGUGGCCGAUGUGUGAAGGUUGAGGCUUCUUUGUGAUUGAUUCUGUGUCAGUGCCCAAUGAUAACUAGAUUUAACCGAAUAUGUCCCAUUCUUUUCAUAGGGCCACACUAGCUUAUCCCACAACCUCGGGUCUCCGAUGUGCGUCUCCAAGAUUGCCUCAAACUUCGCCUCUGCCAUGAAUGGUUUCAAAAAGUCAAUGUCUCACUCCCCAUUAUCCAGGCAAAUUAACGACUUCACCAAUAAACUUUGUGAGACAUGCACCGUGCCCAAAUGGGAAAGUUUACCUGAGGGAAUAGAUGAGAGCCAUCUGUCAACCCAGACCCUAAUAUCAUUACCAUUCAUAAUCUACUAAUGUGCUCCCCCAUGCAGAAUAUCUCUUCACACUAGAAGGCUUGACCAAGCCCAAAAUGCUCUCCCGCCCCAUUUCGUAUUGAGGAAGGAACAAUUAGGAAAGUACCGUGCCUUAAGCAUCGACACCCACAAGGAAUUCAGCUCCAUUAUCAACCUUCAACCCUGUUUCGCUAGAAUAACGUCAUUGAACAUCUCAAAACUCCUCAAUCCUAAGCCUCCCUCUUCUUUUGACCGUCCUAACUUCUUGCGUGAUAACCAAUAAAUCUGAUUCUCACCAUCUUUUUGCCCCCCCAAAAUUUCAAAAUCAUGGCAUCCAAUUCGUUGCAGAGUGAUGUGGGAAACUUGAACAAGCUCAUUGGGUAUGCUAGAAUUGCUUACGCCACCGCCUUUAUGAGGACCUCUUGCCCCGCUUGUGAGAGAGUUGAUUUCUUCCAUCCUUGAAGCUUUGCCAAUACACUUCCUUUAAUGAAGGUAAGCCCUUCUUUGAUUGACCCCAAAUAGCAUGAAGUCCCACGUAUAAACCCGGGUCCCCGACCUUAUCCAUACCAAGAAUACCCGCCAAAUGUUGAGAUAAUGUCUCAGGCACAUUGGUUCCAAAGAAAACACUAAACUUUGUCUUAUUAACUUGUUAUCCCGAAGCCGAACAAUAAUCAUCAAUCAACUGAAUUAAGUACUGGUAGUUCUUUUCCUCCACCUUUAGAAAGAUAAGUGUAUCAUCUGCAAAAAAUAUGUGUGAAAUUGUCGAACUCGAAUGGUUCAUCUGAACUCCCAUAAUCCAAUUCCGAUCACUUGCCUGUUGAAUUAGCAGCGAUAGAACUUCACUAACCAAAAGGAAUAGGUAUGGGGAUAAAAGGUCUCCUUGCCGAAGACCACACAAUGAUGCAAACUUGGGUCCAAGUUGUCCAUUUAAAAGGAUGGCAAAGUUCAACAAAGAAAUGCAACCCAAUAUCAUGUUUCUCCAUCUACUAUCGAAACCUAUCUUCUCCAUGACCACCAAUAAGAAAUCCCGCUCCACACUAUCAUAGGCAUUAUGCAUAUCCAACUUGAUUCCCAACUCAAAUUUGCAUUUCACUUUUCUCGUUUUGAGGAAAUGAAAAAGCUCAUGCACAAUGCCAAUAUUAUCUUGAAUUUACCUUUCUACCAUAAAUGCAUUUUGGGUUGGAGAAAUCAAGUCCAGUAGAAUCUGCUUAAGACGGUUAGCCAAUACCUUGGAUAACACCUUAUAUGAGUAGUUACACAAACUAAUGGGACAUAACUUGAUAUUGAUUCCUGAUUUUGUACCUUUAGAAUCAGCACCAAAUGAGUAGCCUUGAUCUUCCUUGGAUUCUCAUACCUGUGCAUCAUCUCCCUAAUUAUUUCAUUCACGUAUGCUGCAAUGAUAUCCCAGUGUGCUUGGUAGAAAAUCCCUGGAAAACCGUUUAGGCCCUGUGCUUUCAAACCUCUCAUCUGCAUAGUUGUCGUCUUCACCUUUUCUACUGAGACCAAUCCCAAGAGUGAUGCAUUCAUUUCAUCAAUGACCUUUGGGGUAACAUAAUCUAAAAUUUCCUCCAUCCCGCUAGCCUGAUGAAGUGAACAGUCCACGAAAUGCUCGUUAAUCAACUGUUGAACCUGACUAGGAUCCUCCACCCAAUCCCCAUUAUUAUUCUUCAAUGAGACCACCUUUUUCUUUCUUCUUCGAUGCAGGGUAGAUUGGUGAAAGAACUUCGUAUUGGCAUCACCAUCAUUUAGCCAUUGAACCUGUGAUCUUUGUUGCCAGUAGCACUCCUCCUGACUCCACAAUUGGUUUAUUUUUAUUUUUAUAGAUAUUCUAUUUCUUUUGAGUUCCCCUUCCAGUUCUGUUGAAGACGACCCAAUUCGCCCAUCAUCUAAUUUAUUUGCCUCCUCCGUUGUUUGAACUUCACGCUACUCCAUCUGGUUAAGUUGGCACGACAAACAUUAAUCUUGAUAUUCCAUCUUUCUACCGGGUUCCCCUCCCUGUUAUUCUCCUAUGCACCUCUCACAAUUUCUUUACACUUGCCAUCCUUUGCCCAAAAUGCCUCAAAGCGGAACUUUUUCCUUCUUGCGACCUUUUGCUCACAUUGCACCAAAAUUGGACAGUGAUCAGACCCCAAAGUCAUGCCAUUUGUGACAGUAGUAUUUGGCCAAAGUGACAACCAACUAUCAUUCACUAGCCCCCUAUCUAGUCGAGCCUCCACAAAUUGCCCAUUUUGUGUCCCUUUCCAUGGGAAUUUUGGGCCAUUGAACCCCAAAUCCAUAAUCUCCAACUUGCACAUGAACUCCUCCAAGUAUCUUGGCCGGUUGUAUUGCACUUUAACACCCCCCGAUUUCUCAUAGAAUUCAUUGAAGUCGCCACCACAUAUCCAUGGGAUGAUGUCCGGGCUGAAUUUCUAAAUCAUUCCCAUAUAGAAUUCCUCCUUCUCCGCCCUACAAGACAUGUCGUAUACACGUGCCAUAUACUCCGGUAAAUCGAAACACAGACUGCGAGUCAACUAAACCACAACUAGCAUUAAUGAAAUGCUUUGAAGAGUCCAUCACUUCCCCUUUUACCGAAUCGUCCCACCAAAGGCAAAGACCUCCCGCUCUACUAAUCAGUGCAACAUUGAACCCAUUAGAGUACCCCAUACUCCUUCUCACCCCUGCUAUUCUAUGAUCCUUCAUUUUUGUUUUCAAGAGAAAGAUCAUAAAGGGUAUAUGUUCCCUAAUUUGCCCAUGUAGGGCACAAAUUAUCGUGUAUGACCCUAGACCACGGUAGUUCCAAAAUAGGUGUAUUAUGGCAACCCUGUGGUUGUUGAAGGCCAGCCUCGGGAUGAAGUUCCCCACUUUCUUUGCCAUUAGGGUUGUCUUCUCACCCUCAUAGAUCUCCUUCAUGUAGUCCCACAUGUCCUGGUACUCGAUCGGAACAUCAUGUAACUCCUCUCCUCCGCAUAUAUCGCCAUUUCCAUCAUCAAGCAUCAUUCUCCUAUGGUCAUUUUCCUUAGUCUCUCAGCAACCCUUUCUUUUCUUUCUUUUGCCCUUCUAGUAGCCUUCUCAGUUUUUGUUUUUUUUUCUGAGACGAAUGUCCCACUUCUUUGCUCUUUCCUUCUAGCUCCCGCUUAUUUUUGCUUCCAGACCCCCCUAUAUAAGGGGUCGAGUCACUCCCACUUUCUGACCUUUCCAUGCUUAGAUCCUCUGUUUUGGCUGUGCAAUUUGAAGUUGUGUGUGCGGCACCGCAACUCCACCUUCGUUUAGUGUCGAGUUCCCUUCCUGGAUUUCCUCAAUCAAUACCGAUGGAUUUCUUCCAUACUCACUUUGGACUACAAGCUCGAAACCCACAACUAGUCGAUGUUGCCCUAUCGGCCCACAUCCUUCCAUUAUCCACUGGGCCGGGUUGAGAUUCUGUCCGUUGGAUCUUUGAUUCUCUGUUGCUUAGGAGCCUGGAGGGUAUUUUUGCUCACCCUCAAGUGGUGGUAAUGUUUGCAGUUCACCAACCUACUUAUUACCAUUUGAUUGGUUUAAAUUUUGAGAUUUGUAUCUAUUCAUUGCACAUGUCACCAAAUUUAAACUCGGUAAUAAAUAGGGUAGCAUUACCAUCUCUUAAAGGUGAUUUGUGUGUAAUCACUGCACAGGUCACCAAAUUUAAACUCGGUAAGAAAUAAAAUAGUGAGUAUCAUGAUAAAAAAUAUUCCCGAACCUGGAAGAUAGAUGGACCCACUUUACAACAACAGUCUUAUAUACAGAUGGGACCCAAACGUCCUCAAUUAUAUGUGAUCCAUCACAUGCAUGCAUGCAGGGUUUUCUCCAGUUAAUUUGUUCGUUUGUUAAACAGAUCGAAUAGAUCUGCAUGCACACAUAAGAUUUUAUAAUUGCUUUUCUUGUUGGCCUGAAUGAUUGGGUGAAAAUCGUAAUAGUAUUACUGCAGAACUACUGCUUACAUCUAUACGAAUCUGCACUUUUCAAUUGGAGUCUGAAACUCUGAGUUGGAAAGAGCAAGCAAGGCUGCUGUGCCUGUGGCUCAUGUUGCACGUACUCGUGUACAAAUUUGUAUUCCAUUGUUUUUCACUUCACGUAAAAAUGGGUACAAUUAGUAAAAUUGACGUAGUGUGAUAUAAAAGCUGGAAAAUCGAUUAAAAUACUCUUAAGUUAGAAUCGGCUAGCAAUAUGAAAUUCACUGGGAAUUGAGAAAACCUCAAAGUUUACGAUUGAAUAAUAAAAAUGAUUGAAAAUAUAAUUAACUCCAUAAGUUAGGUUAAACAGAAAACAUAAAACCCUAAUUUGUAGGAAAUUAUGAAUGUUUCAUAAUAUUCCUAAUUACUUAUUCACGUUUCAUAACCCAAAAGAAAAACAGGUAAGAAAUAUCUACGAAAUUUAAGAAAUACUUGCUAACUAUUCUCAACGUACUAUAUAUGCAGGAGUGCUUGCUAACUAUUCUCAACAUACUAUAUAUGCAAGAGUGCUCAAAACGCUAAACAGUUAGUAACCUAAUACAACGUUAACCAUACAAAAUGAAUGCCCUAGAGAAGAAAAAGCUGUCACAAACAAAUCAUUUAUAAUGGUUUUGUUAAAGCAGCUGAAAGAGAGAUAUGCAGUGCAGUUUGAGAGCAACAACAUGUGCAUAUUUUUAUAAAAUUCCACAAGAUGUGUGACAAGGCUUAAAAGAAUUUUGCAGAGAUGGGGCUCAUAAGAGAAAAAAACUUUAUCUGCAGGGCCAUCUGUAGCCCUGCUAAUUGCUCGACUUGUCCAGUCCUCUUCCUUGGAGUAUUAUGUAUCAUAUAUCUAGCUAGGUUUUCAUUGGUUAACUGCAUUCGGGGUGGAUCAGCUGCUGACAGCUGCUGGGACCUUAUGCAAUAAUCAAUAAGGUGUUGUUAUCUACACACCUCAUUUUCUAUCUCACAUAUUCCUUUCAAUUUCUGAUCGUCAGAUCGAAUCGUCGUACCCAGUGCACAAGGCUCCCGCUUUACGCAGGAUCGUCAGAUCGAAUGAAUUAAAAAAAAUAAAAAGACAUAAAUUAACAUGGAGUGUGUAAGAGAUAAAAUGAGUAUGUGGAUAACACCAUCCUAAUCAAUAAUCUACUAUUUAUUUUCUUUGGUCUCAGACUCUCAGGCAACCAAAACGUACGUAUAAGGCUAAAAGAUAGGGUUUGUCCAAAAAAAAAGGGUAAAAGAUAGGGUUCGCAGGGAUUUGGAACAUUCAAAGUUUCAAACAUAUAUGGGCCUCUAAUGAUGUUAUCUUAUACUGAUUGGUUUCGUCCAUCUUUGACCAUUUGAGAUUGUGAAGAGUCUCUGGCCCUUGUAGUUAGCAAGAUAUGCUUAAGGCCCAAAGCUAUUGGAAUUUCGAAGGAAUCCUAUAUGUGUGCAAGACUCAUGAGUAGAUCAGUUCUUUCUUUGUAAAUAAAAUAUCCAUAUAUCUUUACGACAAUUACAUCCACAAUACGUCACAAUGAGUUUAGUAUCGGACACACCAUAUACAUAUACAUAUGUGUGUGUGUGUGUGUGUGUGUCGUCCUCACAUUUGUGUGAACUGAAACACACUCUCCCCCCCCCCCCCCCCCCCCCAAAAAAAAAAAACGAAAAUCAAGUAGAGAUCAGCUGCCACUAGACCGGCCUUGCAUUUGUGUGUUAAUUGAAACUCCCACCAUCCCUUUUGAAUACCAAGUAGAGACCGGUUGCCACUAGACCGUCCAAUCAUGUGCGAAUAAAGUAUCCAUGAACAAUUGAAUUUUUUUUGCCAAACUCAUCUUGAAAUCGAUUCUGGUGGAUAUGCUUUCUUACAAGUAGUCAUAUUUGAUCGUGGAAAAUGGUGUGCACACAAGAAAAGCAAGGCAUAUAUGCUAUAUAAACAAAUUAAAGCAAGGGUGUGCAACAUCAUUCACGGCACUUGGGUAUGUAGAACAUGCAUGUUAAUCAAAUCCAAAGGACCAAACUGAAGACAAUCGCCCAAAAAACUAGUACCGAAAUUUGCAGAUUUCUCGGUCACUUGUAUCGUCUUUUCUGUUACGUAUACAUAUUUUGGUAUUUAGUUAGUUUGUAAUUCAAGUUAAAAAGUAUUUAUUUUUAUACUCGAGAUCCUAGGUUCUCUCUAGUAUGGUUUGUAUCAAAAUGAAAAAAAGAUCGUGAACCACGUUUCGUGUUCCAUAAGAAGGAAUUGGAUCCCAUCCGGAUCCACUUUAAUCUUAGUCAUUCAUCAUGUAUCGUGCGGUCAAAAAUCAUAACUUUUUUUUAUUUAAAAUUAAAUACAAAUAAUAUAUGACAAAAAUGAUCGUACGAUGUACGAUGAACGGCUAGAAUGUGAAAAUCCCUAAGAUCCCCACAAAAUGAAUCUAGAGAGGAUACUAUUCCCCGUAAGAAUUCCUACUUCCUUUGUCAUUCUGCUUUCUAAAAGCAUAAAUAGAGAAAAUUCUACCUUCCACAGCUAUAAGAUAUGAUUGGCAUUGAUUCAUUUUCUUCAGUAUUUUUACCUCCAGCACAGCACAAAUGAUGUUUUGCGAUGGUGUGAAGGUGGGGGCACCGUUGGUGCGGUAGUUAGUGGUGCAACAUAAAAAGGGAGGAUGAUUCUCUCUCCUCCUAAUCAUUAUUCCCUUUCCUCUAUAUUACUUAAACGGUUACGGUUAAGUUACUUUAAUAUCUAAUAUUUGUUGGUUUUUUAUAGAGACAAUAAGAUAAAAAAUAAUGUAUGAAAGGAAAAGAGGAAAAUUGAUAAAAAUAAAAGGGGAGAAAAUCUUAAUCCCACAAAAAGACAUGGAUCCUUCUGCUCCUUUCAAAAGGACACAAUUGGAGUACCAUUCCACCGAGAGCUUGCUAGUGUCCUUUAUUUAUCUAGUUAUGUUUGCAACUUACAAUUAAAGUGCAUUGUUUAAACAAACAAAUGACUAUGGCUAGUUUGGAAAUGUUUUUAAAAUAAUUGAAAACUGUUUUUAGAAAGAAAAAAAAACUGUUUUUAGGUUUCAAAAGAACUUGAAGUGUUUUCUACAAGAAGCACUUCAAGUAUUUUUCCAAAAUUCACUUACAUUUUUAUAAGGAUUAUUUUCAAAAAUAUUUUCACCAAAAUAUCUACUUCCCAAAGAGACCAAGACCAACACCAAAAACCCUUUAAUUUGUUGACCGGCAGAGGUGCAAAUUGUUCAACAAUCUCAAAAGCCAAAACAAGUAGUACUAUCUUCUAAGUCUGCCCAUCUACAACGACCAUGAUAGUGACCGGCACCGUUUACUGAUAUUUUUAGUGGUGGCAACGGAGCAGAAUUCUAAGGCUACCGUGGAACUCAAACAAAAUAAAGAUAAGACUCAAUCAAAUGCUAGGUUGAGCCAUUUAAUUUGUAUUGGUUUCAUCAAUAUUGCUCGUGUGGCGAAAAAAAACUCUUAAUAUUACCUUUGUGGUUAACUCUGUUAUCGCUACUCGGUAUUACGGUCUGAUAGUGUUCUUCUUCACUUUGAAGCAAGAGAUCUUAGGUUUGAAUCUUGUAGAUGGUGAAUUCGAUACCAAAUUAGGAUGUCCGUGUGUGGCUUAGUCAAACUCCCUCUUCCUUUAAUGUAAAAAUACAGAUGCACUAAAAAGAAAAAAGAAAAAAAACCUCUGUUAUUAAUUUCAGUUCAAAUUGAACAUACAAUCCUACCGUUAUCACUAUCUAAGAAUUACUUUCAAUGAUGACAUCAUGUGUUUUUUUUUAAUGGACCAACCAAUGGUAUCAUCACAGUAGUUUACUCUUCUGAGGGCCGGAAAGAUUCACAAAGAUAUUUCAACCUUUUCCUGACCAUUAUCAUGUGAUUCACAAUGAAAAAAAAUAAACUCAAGACAUACCUUGUGGAAUACAAUAUAUGUCUGGAAUUCGUCAUCUACUAUUAGCUAUAAUCAGAAAGAAAUUUCACUAUCCUAGAGGCGGACCAUGUAGCUAUGCGAGCAUACACUCACACACACUGAGUUGUCUGUUUGGUACACGCACUCAAACUCACCUAAUAGGCUAAUUGUCUAUGAUGCCGUAUGCAGAUAGUCGGGCAAAGAACUCCCUCCAAAUUAGGGCAGUGUACCCAAGUAGAAUUGGAAGUCAACUUUGAGAGUACUGUUAGCAAAAAUAAUACAUACAAUUAGUAAGCAAUCACAUGAAGCUAAUUAGUAAGAAAACAAAUGUGUGUUUAAGUGUCGCAUUAUUUUAUGUUGAGAUCACGCGGUUUGUGGGACAAUGGAAUCGAAAAGCAAACCAAAACCGCGUAGUGCUGGAAUCUGUAAUUUGGAAGAAUUUACCAAAGACUUUGAUAAGACGUCAAAGUCAGUUCUUCUCCUUGCUCUUGGCCUCCUCUUCUUUCUUCUUCUUCUUCCUUAUCAUCUUCUCCUUAGUUGCUGAAAAAGAAAAAAAAACAGAAAAAAUGGCGGUAACCACCGUACUUUUAUUAGCAGUUUUAUUCAUAGCUGGCCUCGUAAAUAUUUUCUUUCGUUUUCCCACCACCAAGCUCCUUGCUUGGUUUCAAUCUUUGUCCAAACCCUACUCCACUCCUACUACCACUCCAAGCAAGGACAAAGAUAAUCAUGUUGUGAAUAGUAUUAGUCCGCAACCAAAAGUAGCAGAUCAGGCGGCGGAGCUGAAGCAAUUGUUUGCCACUUUCGACAAGAACAGUGACGGGUUCAUCACAAAGCAGGAGCUCAAGGAGUCACUGAAGAAUAUCAGGAUUUUUAUGAGUGAUUCUGAGGUGGAAGAAAUGGUAAAGAAGGUGGAUGCUAAUGGAGAUGGGUUGAUUGACUUUGAUGAGUUUUGCAUGCUGUGCGGGUCCAUGCUUCGUCGGGAUGAUGGGGUAGUGGAGGGCGGAGAUGGGGGAGGAGCGGAGGAGGAGGAGGAGUUGAAGGAGGCGUUUGGUGUGUUUGAUAAGGAUAAAGAUGGGUUGAUUUCGGUGGAGGAGUUGGCGGUGGUGUUGUGUUCUUUGGGAUUGAGAGAGGGGAAUAAGGUGGAGGAUUGUAAGGAGAUGGUGAAGAAAGUUGAUAGGGAUGGAGAUGGUAUGGUCAAUUUUGAUGAGUUCAAGAGGAUGAUGAAAGGUGGAGGACUUCUAUUAGCCCACUAAUUAGGUAUUGAUCUCUAAUUAAGCUCCUACUUCCAAAGCUCUAGUAAGAUUUAAUUACCAUCAUCAAUUUCUUGUGUUAAAUGGUACGCAUAAUUGGCUUGAGAUAUCGUUUCUCAGGUUUAGGUACUCUUACCUCCCAAGAUCCAGUAAGUUUCAUCUACCCUUCAUCAACUUGUUACCGAAAGAACAUUAACAGUAUCUGAUUGGAUUAAGAUACCGUUUCUCAGGUUUAGGUAGGUAUUCCUCAUGUCUAAACACAUGCACCAAGUUGUAUAGGAAACAAGAUAAACCAGACAUUGAUUAAUUUGCAGCUUCAUCUUCAAUUCACAACCACCAUGUGUCAUGGCAUAGGAUGCCAUUCCUCCCUAACCAACCUUCAUUGCCGUCUCUCUCUACAGUAGUAGCCUUCAUUGCUGUCUCUCUCUAAAUUAGUUUAUUUUAACCUUUCAUUGGCAGACAGACCAUCAUGGUCUAUGCCCUUAUGGGUUUUCAAUAGACAUUUACCUUUUACCCCCUCUUGCUGUGUGAUAUUAUUAUCUGUAAUAUUUCUCUCCAACCUUGAUGAGUUCAACAGCAUAUGAUGUAUUGCAAUUCUUUUCUAUACAAGCGAUAUUGGAAAGAAUGAAAUUGAACUUGAAAUCUCGAAGCAAAAAGAUGAAUAUUUCUAACUACUAAUCGCUUACUAAAUGCUCUUAACUAAUUAAGUUACAAAACGCUUAAAAUGUUUUGUUUUGUGAUUUAUAGUUUCACGCAACUGUUGUCAGCUUGAGGCCAAAAAGAAAAACAAAUGUUGUCAGCAAUUUAACUAUUUUUUAAGCCUAUGAAGUUUCCAAAAACUCAUCUCUAGGCCAUGCGUGUAGUUUUCUAUGUCAAUGCAUGUGCCCAAUUGUAAAUUUCAUGGCUGGCUGAAAGCAUGUUGUGAAUAAAUAAAUACAGCCUAGGAUCUUCGUUGGCAUUUGCAAUAGAAAAGAAAAAGGAACAAAAGCAAAAGCCAAAGGCCAAAAGCAAAAGUUAAAGGGAUUAUUAUAUGUAUUUCUGAACGACUAAGAUUAAAUAUAAAAGAUCUGGAUAAUUGUAGAAAUCAAACUUCUAGCUAAAACAAUUGCAGCAUUGAAGCGAUAUCCGUAUUUCUGCUGCUAUAUCAAAAUUUUCUGCAACAUAGAAAAAUGCCGUCUUCAUGAAGCAAUCCCCUGUCCAUCGAGUAAUCAGACUGAUUCAGAGAAGAGUCAAGUUUACGGUGCUAAAGAGAUCCUUUGCAUGUACGAAACGGCAAAUUCAUAUUCCCACUUAUUUUUGGUAAUCAUAUUCCCACUUACUUUUUAUAUACAGAAAUCCAAACGAUUUUGGGAAAAAAAAAUUCGUGGACAGGACCUCGAGUUGAGUGCAGCGAUAAAUACUCUUAAUUACUUAAGCUACAAGUCUCUUACAGACCACACAACUUAUGCUCAUUCACUUGCGAACAACUCGGGACAGAUAAAGGUAGAAUACCAGAGAGAUCAUCUUUCAUCUUUCGAUUCCUCAAGAAACCCUGGCCAAAACCACACGUGCGAGUUUCCCUGCCCAUCGAAAUGGCAUUUGGAAGUGUUGCUGGCUUAACGUUUGGGUUUCGGCAUAGAGCAAAAAUCGGGGAAAAGGACAAAGGAAUGAGCGAUGCCCACGGAAGUAAGGAUGCCAUUCACAGAUGAUAAGUACGAUCAAAUUUUGGAUCUGUACGAUCAGUUGGCGAACACAAAAAAUUGUAGAGGAUGCAUGGAAUGUACAAGAAUUCAGCCGACGAAAUUCGAUUGAAUAAUAGGGUUUAAAGCAUAAACCCUCUUUAAUUGAAGUAUAAAAAGAUACAAUUAAAUCACUAAAUGUUUCUUCCUAUAAAACCUACAGAACAUAUCCCUGAAUUCGUGUUUGAACGAAACUGCGUCGUCACCAUAACAGAGGAAAGAAGCUGCAUCUCUGUUUCCCAAACAACACAAAUACAGCUUGAAGUGCCUCCAUGUCAUUAAAACUACCACACGAAAGCACAUGAUCCGUCCACAAAGCCGAAGAAACAUUUAUCGUUAUACAAAUUCUUUAGAAAACAUCCGGAUGAAAGCGCCCUGGGAUGGAGCUGCUUUGUUGUGCCUGCUUUAGGUGCAUUGUAAGUGCGUAGUUGUUCACCUGAUAAGGUAUAAAAGAAAUAAUCAAACGACAGAAAUCAGCACACACAGAAUUUAGAAAACUUAAGCAAGCAAUGACCACGAUGAAGAAAGAAUCAACUUAAAAAGGAACGGUAACAGACUAGGAAGGAGAUAAUGUAAUGAGCUGUUUAUAUAAAGCAAGCAAGACCAUAUUGUUCUCCCAAAACUUCCAUCCAAAUAUAAGGUUGUAUAAAGUUAUUAGGUUCCUGAGCCCAACCUCGAGGGUUCUCAACUGUUCCUGGUACUGGGCCACCAGUUGCUUCAGAUGCUGCAAUUCCUGGCCUCUAUCUUCAAACUCCUUCUGCCGUUCAUGCUGAGUGGAUACAGCUCGCUUUAAAAUUGCAUUUUCCUGAAUAAUAGCUUCCAUUUGUUCCUUCAGCAUCAUAUUUUCCUACAACAAGGAAAAACAUAAGUACCGCUAAGCCAUUAGGAAAAAAAAGGAAAAUUAAUAGAUGUUGCAUCCUCAAACAUUCCCCCGGUUUUCUACUCACUGCCAAGGGAAGAAAAAAACAAUAACUAGACAAAGAGAAACAUAUAUUGGACAUGCAAUAUAUGUAAUUAAGAGGUCAUACCUGGCGAAAGCUUUGGGCUACCUCUGUGGUUGCACAAGCACUAAUGGACUUCUCCAAAGCCUCAAGCACCCUUGAAGCACGAGCUUUAGCAUCAUACAUGUUAGAGGCACUCAUCAUCUCUCUGACAACGAGCUCCACCCACUCAGCUCCAUCCUUGGGAAGGUUAUUUUGCACUGAUGGAUCAUCAGUUACUGCAACCUCUCCAUUUGUUGCUACCGCACCUGAAACAAAAUAUUGAUCAACCCCCCUUAAUGUCUACAAUACUAGCAAGAUUACCAAAAAACUUAUAGAUUCAAUUCUUGAAAGACUGUCACGGUGGUAAGCCCUGUGGAAGGUGAGACAACGAUAUAACUUUCUAGGUAAAGCAAGAAAGUAUCUGCUCAUACUUUGUGAUUGGAGUUGCACAUUUGCUUCUGGCGCUAUAUCAGAUUUUCCUGCUGCAGAACCUAAACGUAGCUCAUUCAAACUUUUGAUAGCCGAAUCCAAAUCACCACCACAUUCUUCAAGUGCUCCCUCCAGAAGCUAGGAUAAUAAUUUCAAAAUGCUUAGUAACCUUUCAUCUUAAUUAACUAGAUAUGAUGCACAUCCUCCAAAGUUGAAGGGUAUUAAGAACCAUGACAAGAAAAACAAAAAUGGCACGUAUAUGCAUGCGGAGUUUCAAUUACGGGAGGUCACCAAUCACGUGGGUUGUCGAUCGAGUUACACCAAGAAGUCAAUGCAACCAACCACAUUGAAGGGGCAGCGUGCAUCCGUGUCACACAUGUUUAACUCCCUGUAUAGUGUUUGUACAUAUACACACAAGCGCACACACAUACGUAUCUGUAUGUAAACAUACACUUCAUGGCAGUCGGAAAAUCAGAAAUGCAACAAAGCAAAUAUGCCAGAGAACGAAGAUAUAAUAUAAAAAAAUGAUAGAGAAACAUGUAAUAUGCCACAAAAUGAUCAACAAGACUCAAACCAAUUAUCAUAAAAACACCCAGAACACACGAAAAUGCAAGAGGGAUUCCAUUUGUAGUUUCACAAUUGAACUAAACAAUUCACGAUAAUCAUGGCAUACGAAAUUCAGGGACGCCGAAUACUAUGAAAAUGCAUUCCCUAAUAUUUGGCAUUUAAAUUAGGGAACUUUAACGAAAAGAUCAUGUCAUGUUAACUUUAACGAAAAAUCAUAUUUUUACGCUAAAAAAUCAAUUCUAAUACUAUUCACUUUAUCUUUUAUUUUGUGAUUAUAGUUAAAAUCUAAAGUUUCCAAGUCAUUUUCAUUAGAUUUUCUUUUAAAUUAGGCUCGCUAAUCGAAUCCAGUCCUAUCAUCCAAUCCAAUCCAAGCAAUCAAAUUUAUCCCUUCGAAUGAUGCAUACAACAAUAAAAAUCAACAAUUCCAACAUAAUUACACAGAAUUGAUUAAUUAAUGAAAAAAAAGAGAAAAAUGAAUGAAAUGUGAACCUGGUUGUCCAUGUCCGGGAAAACGGCCCUGAGUUGUUCGAUCAAAUGCGAGGCAGCAAACGACGUCGUGGAGGGAGGAGAGAAGCGAACAGGGGAGGAAGAAGAAGAGCAGCGGAUUCUCUUGGAAGCGGAGGAGACGGGAGGGGAAGUCGACGGCAGCGAGUUGUCUUCGAAAAUCGAUGAUCUCUUCCCGCACACAACGGCAGACAUGUUUUGCCUUCUCUCACUCUCUCCCUUCUUCCUCCUCCCUCUCCCCCGCCGUCGGCUUCCUUCUCAUGCAGCGCACCGUUUCGAUCUCAGUUUUCCCCCAAUUUCCAACCCUAAUUUCCGAUCCAGAUCGCAACCCCCUCCAAUUCCAACCCCUAAUUUCCCCAAAUUUGGCAACAAUUACAAUUUCAAAGUUUUAUGGGGAGAGAAAUAUAAUUUCGGAAAAGUAUUUAAUCGGACAUUGAAUCUUUGGUGCUUCUGUGUUGCUUUCUCCCAUGGCGCUUUUGGCCUUUGGGUUUCCCUCCACAGCGGGUCACCGGUGAGGAGAUUGGUGAUAGAAUAACGCCUGGUUCCCGAGGGCCACGAAUCAGAUGACGACACGUCAGAGAAGAAGGGAUGUUAAGUUUGUUGGUGGGUUACGUGGAAGGUCUCUAUUGGGCAGUGCUUGAGAGUGUAUGACAAGUUGGAGGUUCGGUGUGUGACGUUAUCAUGUCGUGAGGUUUCUCGGUCGUUUGGUUCAAGGAGCCGGCGCCGCCCUGGAUCGCAAGUCAAUUAAAUCCUCUCUCUCCCUACGUUUUCCAUUUUUUUAAUUUUAUGGGCUGGUUAAGAGGCCCAACCCAAAGUCCAAGCCUACGUAUACUUGCAAUUGCACAUUAUUUUACAGUUUUAUUGAAGGUGGUAUUUAUCAGACGGUCGAUCUGACUGUAUUUUUUAGAACAUCGAUAUUUUACAUUAAUGAGAGGGAGGUUCUGCUAAGUUACAUAAUGGGUAACCUAAUUUGAUAUCGAAUUCGCCAUUCACAUGAUUCAAAUCUAAAACAUCUCAUUUCCAAGUGAAGAGGAAUACCACCAGAUCGUAUUACUGAGUGGCAAGGACAACAAUAUUUGAAUGUGUUAUUUGAAAUGCUAUAUUCUAUGGUGGGAAAGAUUUUUCAAUGUAUUGGGAACACGUGGUACACUAUAUCUCUACUAAUUAAUAAAGCAUUCAUUGUCAACCAAAACCCUAUAAAAUUAUCAGUUUAACCUUUUAAUUAAAACAGAACAUGAAUAAGAAAUAUGGGGCAGAAAUGUAAUUUCACAAACCAAAUUUUGCUUUUUUUUUUCAAAGUCUCACCUACAUGUAAUUCUAACAUAUCUCUAAUUUAUUAAAAAAAAUAAAAAAUUCUCACUCACAUUUUCUAUCACUCUCUUCCUCUCUCUUUCUAUUUCAAAAACAAAAAUAAAAAAAACUUCUCACACACUUUGUGUGUGCCCAUAUGCUAGAAUGUUAUUAUACAUGUAGAAGGAAUUUUUUUUUUCAAGUGUUCAUCCACUUGUAUAAUGACAUAUGACGCAUUUUUCAGUAUUCGGGUAGACUAAAAACUAUCACCUAUGGUGGACGUGUGAUUAUUAAAUUGUCUCACCACCUUCACAAUCCGACUGUUCUGAAUCCUUCAAAUAUUUAGGGUUUCCAUUCCAUGGUUUUUCCCUGAGUUCCAGAGGCAAGAUUAGCAUCAUUAGAAGUUGGAACCAAAAAAGAGCUCCAGCAAUAAAAAUUGGGUGUAAAUUAAUAGACUGGAUAGUGAAACCCAAAGGAUGGCAACCACCGAACCAGGAUCAUCUCCUGAGCAAUUCCCUAGGGAUCCCGCAAUCUUAUCCGUUCAUUUUAUAUCGUGCGGUCAGUUUUCGUUAGGUACUAUUCAUAUUUGAAUUUUAAAAUUUAAAUUUUAAAUGAUUUCUGACCACACAAUAUACAAUGAACGAACAAGAUUGCGGGAUCCCUAGGGAAUUGCUCAGGAAAGGAUCCUGACCUCCACUUAGUUGAAGGUGAUGAUGGCAUGGGGCUUCGUGUUCUGAUGCAAUCAGAGCCAAGUUGUUUUUGGCUUUUCAGAUGGUGGAGCGAAAACUAGUAAAAAGAAGCAUAUUAACCCUAGCAUGAUACCAUAUUUGAUGCAUGAAAUUCUCCAAAUUUGGUGGUGUUGGUUCGACCAUUCAUGCUUAUGUGACUCAUAAAGCUGGAACGUUAAAAUCUUAAUUUGAAUGAUUGCGCGACUAAUCAUAGCACUUUUGUAACACCUUUACUCGUAUUGGAUAUGAUGGAGCUCAAUGAUAUGCAUGAUCUGAGUUAGAUGUUGUUCGUCCUGAUAAUUCAUGCUUACGAGACAUCACAAAGCAGAAAACAACCAUAAUCAGCGCGGGUGUUAUCACGAUUGAUCCCAUCACUAGCCUUGAUCAUAUGCAUGAUUUGAUUUGGGGUCCUACAUGUUAACCAAUAUAUGGCUACCUUGUUACCAAGUAAGUCCCAACUUGAAAAGGGUUUCGGCAUAUUUGCCAUGCAGGGCAAAUGUGGAUUUCACAAUUCAAUUCAAUACAUAUCCUCCAUCUUUCGCCUCCUAUUGUCCUACAAUGCAAAGCUUUCAGAUUUUGGUUUGGCGAAAGCCCAGUCGAGGGCAGUGGCGGAUCCACAGUGGGGUCAAUGGGGUCGCACGACCCCUUGGAAGCCAUGGAAACAACCUUAGAGACCCUUUGGAGCUGCUGGUGCGACCCAUUAGCUGCACACCAAGUGUUCGACGAAAGGUCCUCGGCUGAGCUGGUUGAAGACGAAGGCGCUCACGCGCCUGUUUUUUUUUUUUUUAAACAACCUGGGCAAAAAGACGUCGUUUUGGGCCAGGUCUAAAGAAAAAAAAAGCCCAGCGUGUCCUUUUCAACCCUAUUUCACACAGAUCCGAAACCAUUCAUUCCAAAACCCCCAAAUUUCUUUUGUUUUCUCCUCCUCCAACCCUAAGUUCCAAACUCAAUCCCCCCCAAACCCUCAACUCCAUCUCCUCCCUUGCUGCCGCCAUUAAGGUGCAUUUGUGCUGCCGUCGUCGUCACUGUGGUGGUGGUGCCACCAACUUUGCUCUUUGUAUUUGCUCAUUGUUAUUGUGAAAUUUCACAAUUCAAGUAAGUUCUAAACCCUAUGUAUGAUAUAUUUAAUUUAAUUGAAACCUAAUUCAUAUUUAUUUUGAUUAUAUUGGUGGUUUGUUUAUAUUGUGAGUAUUUAUUUUGAAUAUUUUGUAUAUGUAGAAUAUAUUUAAUUUAAUUGAAUUCAAUUCAUAUUUAUUUUGAUUAUAUUGAUGGUUUGUUUAUAUUGUGAGUUUUUUAUUUUCAUUAUUUUGUAUAUGUAGAAUGCAAGAUGAGAUAUUUAAUUUAAUUGAAAUCCAAUUCAUACUUAUUUUGAUUAUGUUGAUGGUUUGUUUAUAUUGUGAGUAUUUAUUUUGAAUAUUUUGAAUAUGUAGAAUAUAUUUGAUUUAAUUGAAAUUCAAUUCAUAUUUAUUUUGAUUAUAUUGAUGGUUUGUUUAUAUUGUGAGUUUUUAUUUUCAUUAUUUUGUAUAUGUAGAAUGCAAGAUGAGAUAUUUAAUUUAAUUGAUAUCCAAUUCAUAUUUAUUUUGAUUAUGUUGAUGGUUUGUUUAUAUUGUGAGUAUUUAUUUUGAAUAUUUUGUAUAUGUAGAAUUAUUAUGGAACGGUUUUUUAAGAGAAAGUCAUCAUCGGGUUCGGGUAGUUCGAAUAAUAUUGAUAGUUCAAAUACUGUUGGUAGUUCAAGAACUCCAAGUUCAAGACAAAGUCAGUUAGAUAGUGUUUUGGGUAAUCUUGAAGCGGAUCCUGGAUUGAGAACUCGAAUAAUAGAUUAUGAUGCUAAUAUGAGAGAUGAGGUCCGAAGAUCAUAUCUACAAAAAGGACCUUGUCAACCUAGAGGUCAUAAUUUCCCAAUAACUAAUAUGUCGGGAAUUAAUCGACGCUUCAUUCCCCAAUGGUUUGAUGAGUUUGGUUGGUUGGAGUAUAGUGUAUCUAAAGAUGCGACAUUUUGUCUCUAUUGCUAUCUCUUUAAAACCAAUUUUACACAAGUGGGUAGUGAAGCUUUCACUGGAGAUGGAUUUAAGACUUGGAAGAAAGGGAGAGAAAGAUUUAAGAUGCAUGUUGGACAGGUUGGGAGUGUUCAUAAUAAGGCUAGAGAAGCUGCUACAAAUUUGAUGAAUCAAGCUACACAUAUUGAAACGGCAGUGAGCAAACACUCCGACCAAGCUCGUAAGGCUUAUCGCACAUGCUUGAAUGCAUCAAUCAAGUGCACUAAGUUUUUAUUGCGACAAGGUCUUCCUUUUCGUGGCUAUGAUGAAAGUGCCACUUCAAGCAAUAUGGGAAAUUACUUGGAGCUAUUGCAAUUCCUUGCAGAUAAUAAUGAUAAAGUUAGAGAAGUUGUGAUGGAAAAUGCUCCGGGGAAUCUCAGAUUAGUAGCUCCUAGCAUUCAAAAAGAAAUUGUGAAUUCAUGUGCCCUUGAAACACUUGAUGCUAUCAUGGAUGGUCUAAAAGAUAGAUUCUUUUCAAUAUUGGUGGAUGAAGCACGUGAUGUGUCGGUGAAAGAGCAAAUGGCUAUGGUGUGGCGUUAUGUGGAUGACAACGGGCAUGUAAUUGAAAGAUUUGUGGGUAUCCAACAUGUUACCAACACUACUUCAAGUUCACUAAAGGAUGCUAUUGACACAUUAUUUUCUCGCAACGGUUUGAGCAUUUCCAAGCUACGAGAACAAGGUUAUGAUGGUGCUAGCAAUAUGAAAGGUGAGUUGAAUGACCUUAAAACAAAGAUAUUGAGAGAACAACCUUGUGCAUAUUAUGUUCAUUGCUUUGCUCAUCACUUCAACUAGCUCUUGUUGCCGUAGCAAAGAAGAAUAUAGACAUUGCCUCUUUUUUUGCAACGGCUAAUAGUGUGGUUAAUCAUGUUGGAGCAUCUUGUAAGCGGCGUGAUUUACUUAGAGAGCAACUUCAAGAAGAGUUUGUGAUAGCUUUUGAAAAUGAUUGUCUUAUAACGGGGCAAGGCUUAAAUCAAGAAACAAGUCUCAAACGUACCGGUGACACACGAUGGAACUCACACUAUGGUACCUUGAUUAGCAUCAUUUCCAUGUUUUCAUCCGUGGUUCAUGUGUUUUAAAUGGUUAUUGAUGAUAAUCCCAAUGAAAGUGCGAGUGAAGCAAAUAAGUUAAUGAGAGAUAUACGUACUUUUGAGUUUGUGUUUCACCUUUUCUUGAUGAAAGUCAUAUUGGGACUCACAAAUGAUUUGUCACAAGCAUUGCAAAGGAAAGAUCAAGAAAUUGUGAAUGCAAUGGCUUUAGUGAAAUCAUGCAAGGAAAAGCUACAUUGGAUAAGGAAUAAUGGGUUCGAUGCAUUGGUUGAUGAAGUAUCUUCUUUUGUGAAAAACAUUAUAUUGAUGUUCCUAACAUGGAAGAGGCAUUUAUACUUCCAGGGAGGUCAAGGCGUAAUGCUCCAAUAAAGACAAAUCGUCAUCAUUAUCGUGUGGAGCUCUGUAUUUAUGUCAUUGAUGAGCAAAUUACGGAGUUAGAGGAUCGCUUUAAUGAGGUAAAUACCGAGUUGCUUAUUUGUUUGGCAUGUUUGAGUCCGAAAGAUUCAUUUGUAGCUUUUGAUAAACCAAAGUUACUUCGUCUUGCUCAAUUUUAUCCUCAAGACUUUUCGGAUGAGGAUCGUUUGACACUUGAAGAUCAACUUGAGAUUUAUAUUCAUUAUGUGCGUUCCAGUAGUGAUUUCUCUCAAUUGGAAAGGAUUGGUGAUCUUGCAAAAAAAAAAAUGGUGGAGACAAGGAUGCAUCAAGUAUUCAAUUAUGUAUAUUUUCUCAUUACAUUGUCUUUAGUUUUACCAGUUGCAACUGCUUCAGUGGAGAGAACAUUUUCUGUCAUGAAUAUUGUUAAGGGUCCACUUAGGAACAAAAUGGGAGAUCAAUGGUUGAGUGAUAGCUUGCUUGUUUAUAUUGAGAGAGAUAUUUUUGCUUGUAUUGAAAAUGAAGCUAUAAUGCUUCGUUUUCAAAAUAUGAAAUCUCGUCGUGGACAAUUAUAGCUUGUAAUAUUGUUUUCAUUAUGAAUUAUGAAUAAAAGUACUAUGAUUUCAUUUUCAACAUGUUUUUCCAUCCUAAAUUUUUUUUUGGACUUUUACACUACGACCCAUUGUGGUAAGAUUCGUGGCUCCGCCACUGGUUGAGGGAGACAAAACGCAUGUUUCUACUAGGAUUGUUGGAACCAAUUGCUAUGCUACUCCAGAGAAUGUUAAGGAAGCCAUAACAGAUGGUUCAAAUUUUUCGAGACAAUCGAAAUUUUUUUUGGAUGAAUCCAGGGUAUCUCCCACACGUAGGUGAGGACUAAUCCCUCGAGCUGGGUUGGACCCCAUUCGGGGGGGGGGGCAAACUCUUCCAAUGCUGGCUCUCCAUUCACAAGACUCGAACUCGAGACCUUGCUUAAGGGGAACAAGCUCCUUACCACUUGAACCACCAAGCAUUGGUAACAUUCGAAAUUUUAGAUACAGAACAGUCCUUAUGUAAUACUUAGAAUUUUAAGAAGACUGAUAGCUAUCAUGUAUGAUUUAUAUGUUUUACAUUCAAAGAAAAGAGAGUCGAACCUUAAGAGCAAAGCACUCGGAAAAUAUGAAUAUCCGAAUGAGCUCGGCUAUGUGAACUCUUUUUUUAUCCUAUUGAUUCAGAACAUAAUUAACUCAAGAUCUCUGUAUGAGUUUCUUGUUUCAUAAGAAAUUGGAGGUCUAACCAGUACAAUUUGUGUUCCCUUCGUUUUCACAGGACUUGACAUCUAAAACUGAUGUGUAUAAAAAUACAGCUUUGGUGUAGUUUUACUUGAGAUUGUAACAGGAAGAUGCUGGAUUUGACAUUAAAACAACAUGCCUAAACUAAAAUAAGAAUCAAACAAGGAUUCGGAUAUCUUGGACGCAAGAUAUUUAGAUUUGUGUUUCCUAGUUGGUUUGGGAUUUGGUUUUAGUAUAAGAUUUGAUUUCCUAUAUUCUAGGGACUUUGUGUAACCUAUGACAUCUAUUAGUAUAAAUAGAUGGAUGUGGGAUUGAGUUUUGUGUGUGAGAGUUUUUGAGAGGCAUAAGUUUGUAUACUUGAGAACACUUUGAGUUUGUGAGUUCUCUUGUAUUUGUUGGUAAUCAAUAAAGCUUCCGUUGUUAGAGAGGUACUCCUAUAUUGGAGGAACUCUGAAAUCAUUGUGUUUUGUUUAUUGCUUGAUUGGUUUUUGGUUUAGUUUACAACAAAAGAAGAUCCAAGGACAAGAAAUGCCCUAGCAGAGAACAAAACCUGGUGGCAUGGGCUCGGCCACAUUUAGCUGACAAGCGAAAGCUUUCCGUUCUAGUGGAUCCACGCAUGGAAUUGAACUACUCCAUUAAAGGGGUCCAGAAGGUCUCACAAUUGGCUUACAGCUGCCUUAGUAGGGACCAAAAUCCCGCCCUACAAUGGAUGAAGUCGUGAGGAUUCUUACUCCUUCGCAGGAUGUCAAUGACCUCUCGCCAUUUUAUCUCAUAAUUCUCGUUUAUCUCAACUAGGAAGGCGAAAGAAGAAACCUGACGGAACACACCAGCUCACCUACAGCCAGUCUAAGAGCAUCAGAGACUCUCCGUUAAAUACUGGCAAGCAGCAACGCAGAUGAUUGUUGCGCGCGGUCAAUCCCAUUCCUCGACUGCAGACUUGACACACGAUUGAAUGAAACAAAGGUCGCCUUUGUUAACGGUUGUGUAUGAAAUCUUCGAGCCAAAGUGACAAGUGGAAGAGGCUAGGAGAGCUCACAUUUGAUAUUUUGGAAUCAUCAUUCAUCACGCCAAUGUUUCAUUUGAGAUAUAUAUUUGCAGCUAAUUAAUGUCAGCCACUUUGAUCGAAAGUUUGGAGAAAUUUUCGAGUAGGAUGGUCACAUUGUCACAAAGUGUUAUUACUAUAUGUGUUAUAAAACAUAUAGGUGAGCGAUUUAUAUGUGUAAUGCAAGUAAGGUAUAAUAUUAAGAGUGGUGCUAUCCAUGUGGAUGCAAAUUUUCUCCUCUUCGAUCUUGGACGAUUUUGCACCUACAAAACAACUAGCACCUUAGGUUAAGGCCAAAAGUCUCACGCGCCCACGAUGAAUGGGGGGGGGCUUUGGCCGAAGAACCUCCGAUGCCAAAGUUAGAAAUUUAGAGAGAAAUAGUGUUUAGAGUGUUUUGGAAUUUUUGCAAGAGGUUUGGAAUGAGUGUUUGGUAAAAAUGGGUGACAAUUUAUAGGACCAAAUUGGUCCACAUCUUCAAGAAAUGGCCGGCCCUUUCUUUGUGCUUUGGGAUGAAUUUUGUGGUUUUAUUAGCCACUUUAUUGGCUAAUAAAAUAUAAUAGAAAUAAAUGGGAAGUUACCCAAUUGAAUGACUAGCAUUAUUUGGCUAAUAAAGUGGAAGAAAUUUGAAAAGGUGUGGAGCAAAGAGAGGGAAUGUGGCCGGUCUACUAGGUGGGAUUUUAGGGUUUAUUUUAGGUUUAAUUAGCCAAUUAAUUGGCUAAUUAAAUAUGAAAGGAAAUGUUUUAGUAUUUAUGGUAUUGAUUGGCUAAUUUAAAAGGGAAGGAAAGGUGGAAAAGGUAGAAAAAGGUGAUGGAAUAGGCUUUGAAUGGGGUAGCCGGCCCUAUAUAAUUUUUUAGGUUUGAGUGGAUGUUUCAAAUUGAUAAUUAAGGGAUGAUUUUAGGAGAUAUGGGAAGAAUAUAUUAUUUAGAUAAUUAAUUAACUAAAUAAUAUAUUAGGGAAAUUAAGUUUUGGAAAUAAUUACCUAAAAUAAGAUAAUUUGGAAUUGGUUACCUCUUUUGGAGCAUUUUUGAAUUGGUUGAGGAUGAUUACCCACUACUUGAUCGUAGGAAUCCCGGUAUGCCUCAAGGGUAUUUUUGUCCUCUUUCGUUCAAAAGUCCACGUGUCGCCUAGCGAAUAUUUUUGGCUCCACAAUCCACACACCUUUUUUUACCUUUCAUAUACAUCUCUUAAUUUUCAGACAUGAAUAACACUACCCUAUUAAGAAAUAGAUUUAUGUGUUGUAACAUGAACAGAUUUGUAAUACCACAUGGCAUGACAAUAAAAAAACUUCUGGAAAGUUUGAGCUUUUUUAUUCUAUCUUUCAUUAAAAUUUAUUGAAACUUGCUGUAAACAUACAGAUGAAGACAGAUAUAAUCCUCUUAAGAUCUACCGUUUCGAUACAUAGAACCCUGGUUUUCAUCUGCAUCCUCUCCUCUCUGAAUCAUGCUGCACCUUCCUAUAAGUGUAUAUGCUCUCUACAGAGUCAGAUUUCAAACUGAAGCUGAUCAUCUGGAGAUCUAGUAACCUCGAUUUCGGUUUUCGUAAUCGAUCCAUGAAAUAUUUCAACAAUUUACAAUUUUCUGCUGGCUGUUCAUUGGACUGUACAUGAUUUUAACUAACAAGUUCCCUGUGACUCUUGCUAUUUACAACUAUAAACAACGUACAUGCCUUAACAAAAAAAAUGAAAGAAUCGGAUUUCUCAAGUGGAAGCAUUCGUCUACAAACCCUAAUAUUGCAUGUAUACAAAUUAUUCAUGUGUGAUUGUCAUUCAUCAUCAUCACAACUUCACCAGCUGUUCAUAAGUAGAGAUGUCACAUAUCCUUUUCCUCCACAACCCUAUCCGCCGCUUUUCCCGCUCAUACUUAAUUAUUGAAGCAUGUCGAACAAAAAAUAUCUGCAGAUUUUACACCAAAAUUACAAUAUAUCAUUAAAUCUUGGCAGUCAAGAAAAAUUAGAGAAAAUUCAAGGAAAUUUAGUAAAAUGAUCAGAAAUGAAAUCUCAAUUGUUGAAUUGAUCAAAAUCAAACAUUGAAGACAAUACUGAUCAAAUUUGAUAACAUAACAAUCGAAUAUUUGAUGAUAUAUUGAAAAAUGAUCAUUUCAGCAAUUGAGAUUUACAAAUUAAAUCAUUUGUUUAAAUUUCUCAAAAUUCAAAACUGAAGUUUAGAGGUGGACAAUAAUAUAUAGCAAGACUAC